rnacentral:snRNA from 1 species
GUGCUCGCUUCAGCAGCACAUAUACUAAAAUUGGAAAGAUAAAGAGAAGAUUAGCAUGGCCCUGCGCAAGGAUGACACGCAAAUUUAUGAAGUGUUCCAUAUUUAA